rnacentral:tRNA from 1 species
GCGGUAUUAGUACAAUGGUAGUACGCGGCCUUGCCAUGGCUGAGGCACGAGUUCGAUUCUCGUAUACCGCUCCA